UCAACUUCUACCUGGAACAACAAUGGCACACACCUGAGGGAAAAGAACUUUCAAAGGAGGAAGUACUUGCUUGUCAGAAAGUAAUUGGACGUUGCCUAUCACAGAGGCUGAUGGACAUUGCCCGUGACCACCUCGCUCGGAAUGCCUGGCUACAGAUAUGAUGGCGAAUAAUAGGAAACACAAGUGUCGCUCUUGUAGCGUCCCAACUCCUGGCUGCUGAAUCUUCCAUGGACUAUCAAGCUGGAGACGAGCUACAGCACAACAGGGGCCUACCGCACCCGCCUUCUGCUGCUCUACCACCACCAGGAUCGUGGCAUGGAACAGCAUGACACUUCUAUGACGUUGUCAGGCAAAGAUAGAGGGAACUAAAAUAAAGUGACGAUGAGCAUA
rnacentral:lncRNA from 1 species